CUGCUCUUCUUCUUUUCUUGGCCGAAAGAUUUCCCCAUCUUCUUGAUGGUCGAACGAGUUCUGUUCUGCCUCGUUCUUUGCUUUUGUCAGUUGCCGGAGUUCUUCAAUGUAUGAGUUUCUGCCUCGUUAUUAUGACUGGAGCGAUCAAACCCAGAAACCCCAUAUAGCGGUGUUGGACUUGGCUAGCGGGAUCUUCGUUGGCUAGCGAGGUGCUUCAUUAGUGUCUGUGCUAGUUGUUGGCUAACUUUGUCGUCCAAACUGUAAUUAUUGCUAGCCACUUACUGUGUCGUGGAGGCAUACAUCGGUGAUUUGGGUUUGAUUAACUAGUAUGAUUGAUGAAUGGAAUGUGAUUCUCAUGAUGAGAGGGAACUAAGAGUCCAUGGAAAACGUGAAUUAAUUCAAUCAUCACUGGCAUGGAAAAAGGGUAGUGUUGGAAAAUACUU